UCGUCGGGUUAGCAAUAAUUCGGCGGUUCUAGUGGCGCACGGGUGAGUAACACGUGGGUAACCUGCCCUCGAGUCCGGGAUACCCCUCCGAAAGGGGGGCUAAUACUGGAUACGUUCCUCGGGUCGCAAGAUCUGGGGAGGAAAGGUAGCUCGCAAGGGCUGCCGCUCGUGGAGGGGCUCGCGGCCUAUCAGCUAGUUGGUGGGGUAAUGG
rnacentral:rRNA from 1 species